rnacentral:rRNA from 1 species
AUUGAACGCUGGCGGCAUGCUUUACACAUGCAAGUCGAACGGUAACAGGUUAAGCUGACGGGUGGCGAACGGGUGAGUAAUGCAUCGGAACGUGCCCGAUCGUGGGGGAUGACGCCGCGAAAGCUGCGCUAAUACCGCAUACGAUCUGAGGAUGAAAGCGGGGGACCGUAAGGACUCGCGCGAUCGGAGCGGCCGAUGUCAGAUUAGGUAGUGGGUGGGGUAAAGGCUCACCAAGCCAACGAUCUGUAGCUGGUCGGAGAGGAAGACCAGCCACACUGGGACUGAGACACGGCCCAGCCUCCUACGGGAGGCAGCAGUGGGGAAUGUUGGACAAUGGGCGAAAGCCUGAUCCAGCAAUGCGGCGUGCAGGAAGAAGGCCUUCGGGUUGUAAACUGCUUUUGUACGGAGCGAAAAGGCCCUCUCUAAUACAGUGGGCUCAUGACGGUACCGUAAGAAUAAGCACCGGCUAACUACGUGCCAGCCGCCGCCGUAA